UCCUGGUUAACCCAGGCAGUCUCACUAGAGUUCCCACCUUUACGUGUUGGCAACUAGUGAUAAGGGUUGCGCUCGUUGCUGGACUUAACCAAACACCUCACGGCACGAGCUGACGACAGCCAUGCAGCACCUGUGCAGAUGUCCCGAGGGAAGGCUCUAUUUCUAGAGUUGUCAUCUGCAUGUCAAACCUGGGUAAGGUUCUUCGCGUUGCAUCGAAUUAAACCACAUGCUCCACUGCUUGUGCGGGUCCCCGUCAAUUCUUUUGAGUUUCACCCUUGCGGGCGUACUCCUCAGGCGGUAUACUUAUCGCGUUAGCUUCGGCACAAUCGGGGUUGAUUCCAAUUACACCAAGUAUACAUCGUUUAGGGCAAGAACUAC
rnacentral:misc_RNA from 1 species